rnacentral:rRNA from 1 species
GACGAACGCUGGCGGCGCGCCUAACACAUGCAAGUCGAACGGAGUUAAAGAGACAGAAGUUUUCGGACGGAAGACUUUUUAACUUAGUGGCGGACGGGUGAGUAACACGUGAGUAACCUGCCUUUCAGAGGGGGAUAACGUUUGGAAACGAACGCUAAUACCGCAUAACAUCAUUUUGGGGCAUCCCGAGAUGAUCAAAGGAGCAAUCUGCUGAGAGAUGGACUCGCGCCUGAUUAGAUAGUUGGUAGGGUAACGGCCUACCAAGUCGACGAUCAGUAGCCGGACUGAGAGGUUGAACGGCCACAUUGGGACUGAGACACGGCCCAG